rnacentral:tRNA from 1 species
GAAAUAAGUAAUUCAAGAAAAAGCUUCUAACUUUUAUCUUAAGCAGUGAAACUCUGUUUUUAUUUCU